rnacentral:rRNA from 1 species
AGAGUUUGAUCCUGGCUCAGGACGAACGCUGGCGGCGUGCUUAACACAUGCAAGUCGAACGCUGUCCAAUUGGUGGCAACACCGAUGAAGACGGAGUGGCGAACGGGUGAGUACCACGUGAGCAACCUGCCCCGAAGACUGGGAUAACACCGGGAAACCGGUGCUAAUACCGGAUACCCCCACCGGAUCGCAUGUUCUGG